rnacentral:tRNA from 1 species
AACUUCGUGGUGUAUAACAUGUUGGAUUGCAAAUCCAAAGUCGUAGAUUAACGAUCUACCGGGGUUU